CUCGUCCUCGAGGUCCUCCUCUUCAUCAGAAUAAAAGUUCACGACAGCAGAGUCGGUCACCUUCUGCAUAUCCUCCUUAGUGAGGUCAUCCUCCUCCUCGCUGCUGUACUCGCUGGGGUCAUCCUCCUCGCAGCUGUACUCACUGGGGUCAUCCUCCUCACAGCUGUACUCACUGAGGUCAUCCUCCUCGCUGCCCACUCCGUCAAGGUCAUGUUCCUCAGCACUCUCAUCUUCUGUCAGAUCACUCUGUGGCAAAUCAUCAUCAGCGACUUCCUUCUCUGUAACAGCAGCUGGAAUCAUCUUGUUAGGAGCAUCAGCAGUCUCA
rnacentral:lncRNA from 1 species